rnacentral:rRNA from 1 species
GACGAAGGAUGCAAGCGUUAUCCGGAUUCAUUGGGCUUAAAGGGUGCGUAGGCGGACUGAUAAGUCAGUGGUGAAAUCUCUUUGCUUAACAAAGAAACUGCCAUUGAUACUGUCGGUCUAGAGUAUAGAUGACGUUGGCGGAAUAUGACAUGUAGUGGUGAAAUACUUAGAUAUGUCAUAGAACACCGAUUGCGAAGGCAGCUAACGAAACUAUAACUGACGCUGAGGCACGAAAGUGCGGGGAUCAAACAGG